UGAACGCUAGCGGCAGGCCUAAUACAUGCAAGUCGGACGGGAUUGGAGAGCUUGCUUUCCAUGAGAGUGGCGCACGGGUGCGUAACACGUAUGUAACCUACCUUUGUCAGGGGGAUAGCCUCUCGAAAGAGAGAUUAAGACCGCAUAACAUUGUUGAACAGCAAUUGUUUAACAAUCAAAUAUUUAUAGGACAAAGAUGGGCAUGCGGGACAUUAGCUAGUUGGCGGGGUAACCGGCCCACCAAGGCGACGAUGUCUAGGGGAUCUGAGGAGGAUGACCCCCCACCACUGGUACUGAGACACGGACCAGACUCCUACGGGAGGCAGCAGUAUGGAAUAUUGGUCAAUGGGCGGAAGCCUGAACCAGCCAUGCCGCGUGCAGGAAGACGGCCCUACGGGUUGUAAACUGCUUUUGCAGGGGAAUAAACCCCCGUACGUGUACGAAAAAUGAAAUAUACUCUGAGAAUAAGGAUCGGCUAACUCCGUGCCAGCAGCCGCGGUAAUACGGAGGAUCCAAGCGUUAUCCGGAUUUAUUGGGUUUAAAGGGUGCGUAGGCGGCCUAUUAAGUCAGGGGUGAAAGACGGUAGCUUAACUAUCGCAGUGCCUUUGAUACUGAUGGGCUUGAAUACACUAGAGGUAGGCGGAAUGUGACAAGUAGCGGUGAAAUGCAUAGAUAUGUCACCAGAACACCAAUUGCGAAGGCAGCUUACUAUGGUGUGGAUUGACGCUGAGGCACGAAAGCGUGGGGAUCAAACAAGAUUAGAUACCCUGGUAGUCCACGCCCUAAACGACGAACCCACGAUGUUAGCGAUAUACAGUUAGCGUCUAAGCGAAAGCGUUAAGUGUUCCACCUGGAGUGCACGCCCGCAAGGGUGAAACUCAAAGGAAUUGACGGGGGCCCGCACAAGCGGAGGAGCAUGUGGUUUAAUUCGAUGAUACGCGAGGAACCUUACCCGGGCUUGAAAGUUAGUGAAUUGAGCAGAGACGCUCAAGUCCUUCGGGACACGAAACUAGGUGCUGCAUGGCUGUCGUCAGCCCGUGCCGUGAGGUGUUGGGUUAAGUCCCGCAACGAGCGCAACCCCUAUGUUUAGUUGCCAGCAC
rnacentral:rRNA from 1 species